rnacentral:rRNA from 1 species
GGUUAAAAAGCUCGUAGUUGGAUUUCUGUUGAGGGCGACCGGUGUACACCUCGUGUAUUAUUUGGUUCGGUCUCGGCAUCCUCUUGGGGAACGUUUCUGGACUUUAUUGGACAGGGCGAGAUUCAAGACUUUUACUUUGAGGAAAUUAGAGUGUUCACGGCAGGCAAGCGCUUUGAAUACAUUAGCAUGGAAUAAUAAUAUAGGACCUUCGUUCUAUUUUGUUGGUUUCUAGAACUUAGGUAAUGAUUAAUAGGGACAAUUGGGGGCAUUCGUAUUAACGCGUCAGAGGCGGAAUUCUUGGAUUGCGUUACGACGAACUACUGCGAAAGCAUUUGCCAAAGAUGUUUUCAUUGAUCAAGAACGAAAGUAUGGGAUCGAAGACGCUUAGAUACCGUCGUAGUCUAUACCAUAAACUAUGCCAACUAGAGAUUGGAGGGGUUCUCCUAUUUGGCUCCUCCAGCAUCUUAUGAGAAAUCAAAGUUUUUGGGUUCCGGGGGGAGUAUGGUCGCAAGGCUGAAACUUAAAGGAAUUGACGGAAGGGCACCACCAGGAGUGGAGCCUGCGGCUUAAUUUGACUCAACACGGGAAAACUUACCAGGUCCAGACAUAGUAAGGAUUGACAGAUUGAUAGCUCUUUCU